GCGCCCUUAGCUCAGUUGGAUAGAGCAGCCGCCUUCUAAGCGGCAGGUCAGAGGUUCGAAUCCUCUAGGGCGCGCCA
rnacentral:tRNA from 1 species